rfam:Schistosoma curassoni strain Dakar, Senegal genome assembly, scaffold: SCTD_scaffold0006094
AUCCAGCUGAAGAGUCUCAAAUAGGACGAAACGCACGUCUUGGAU